rnacentral:misc_RNA from 1 species
CAUGAUGAUAAUUUUAGCAUACAUAAGAAAUAUUCAUGUCUGCAUGGUAUGGAUCUAGAUACCAAUGCCCUGAAUGGAUUAAUCCCCAAUGUGUCCAUGUUUGUAAAUGUAAUGACAAGGAACCCAGAAUACACUUAUUUACACACAGGGACACAACAACCAGAUGCAGAGAGCUGCUGGAAACAUCAUGUACAAGUUCGAGUACGAAGGUAAAUGGAUAUAAGGCUGCUAUGGGUCCGGUUUACCAACCAUCCCCUCGUCACUGGAAUCGUCCUCAUCCUCGCUCAGCUCUUCGUCAUCGCUUGAUUUCUCCUCUUGGGCGCCAAUGUCUUCGGGUUUCGCAUAUUUUUCACAGUAUUCUUUCACUUUUUGUUCGUACGCAGGUCGAUCACGCAUCAUCAGCGCUGCAGCCUCCCCAUUUAACGGAUCGGAAGGAUUAGGAUAAAGAAGCAGUUGUGGAAGGAAAACUUCGAAAACAUUGACAAGAUCAAACAUUGGACUCCAAGUCUGGUUGAUGACAUCCAAACAAACCGAACCAGACAUUUCAUCAACAUUCGGAUGAUAUAUCUUAUUCAGAAAUCCAAUGGAUGGGGAUUUAUAAGGAUAAGCAUCAGGUAACUCCACCCUGACUCUCCAAACUCCCCCUGUAUACAGACUAUCCACCGGCCCGUUGAAAUCAACAUAAAACUCCUGCAUCCCAUCGUUGAUCAUCUCCACCUUGUAAUCGCUCAUCAUCAGUUUCAUCAAGUCCAUCUCGCGGCGCUUGCUCGGGGACGACAUGGCCGGAUUGAGUGCUCGGCAGCUCCUCUGUGGGUUGAGGGGGCGGUGAGAAAGAAAUGGGGGAGAAGACAAGAU